GAGCAGACCAUUCUCUUAACUCAUUCUCUUCUCUCUUUCUCUCUCUUUAUCUCAGUUUCGAAGUAAUUUGUUGACGAAUCGGUCAAAUGAAAACUUACAUUCUUCAUCACUAUCCUGCAGAUUUCCUAUUGAAAACCAACUAGAUUGAAAACCUACGCUUCGACCCUAACCCUAGAUUUACUCGAACAGAUUUAAGGUUCCUGCUGCAGAAAUUGAAAGUUAGGGUUUGAGGUUAUGUUUUGAGAUGAACCGCUGCUUUGCUGCAAGAAUCGAGAUUGAAUGGGUUUGCGGAGAAUGAUGUUGGUGGUUGGAUUUGAGAUUGAAAUUUAGGGUUUGAUAUUUGUGGAGAUCGAAAGUUAGGGUUGGAUUUGAGAAUGAAAGUUAGGGUGGAAAAGAUAGAAAUUGAAAGUUAGGGUUUGAGAUUUGUGGAGUUUGAAAGUUAGGGUUGGGUUUGAGUUUGAAAGUUGUGUGGAAAAGAUAAAAAUUUAAAGUUCGGAUUGGAUUCGAGAUUCUGAGAUUGAAUGGGUUUGCAGAGACUAAUGUUGGUGGUUGGAUUUGUGGAGUUUGAAGAUGCUUUAACUACCUUGUACAGAUGAUGAAGUAGUGCUGUCAUUUGAGAAUUGAAGCCUAUGCUGAGGAACUGAAGAUGGCAUUGUUUCUUGGUGUCGGUGCUGCUACUAAGUGGUGGUUGUGCAAUGGUUAGGACUGAUUUAGGAGACAAGGAAUGAGAAUAUUCAGAAAUGCAAGUGGUGGUGUUUCUGGGAUUGCAAUGGUUGCACUGGAGUUGGAGAUGACUGGUGUUCGUAGAGCAAUGCUUUGCAGGGAAUGUGUUGUGAAACAGUUGAGUGUUGGAAAUGGUUAGCUUGUAGACUGUUGCCAUUGUUACUGGUUGUCUUUCUCUCCACGUUGAAAAGGUGAUCCUCUUGUAUGUCCAAGUACACAUGCUAUACCUCCUCCAAUGGUAAGUAUGUAUGAGGUGAUUUCCGUAUUGCAGCUGCUUGACAGACAGGUAACUCAUGUUGGACUUGUAUUUGAAGUUCACAUGGGUUGGAUUAACGAGAACGAUGCCAUGGCUGCUACUGUACUUCAGAUAGAUGCUCUUAAGUGCACGUUGGAGGAAUGGUGGAUUCAUAAAAUGCUCGGCAUUAUUUCAGCGUGGAGUAUGUUAAAGAAUUUGCCCGGACUAGGACAUGUUUUAAGAUUGGACCUACUCGUUUUAUCGACUUAUUUCAGAUAGAUGUUGCCUGUAAUAAUCUAAAUGUGGCGUUGUGAUAGGCUCUGUAACGGGUGGCAUGAAGUGGUUGUCGGGAAGUUGCUGACUUUGCAACUUAUGCAUUUGGGCCAACUAUUGUGGUCACUCUUUUUGGUGCACUCAGCAUUAUUAUCAGGCACGAAACAAGUUCAUUCCCCAAGUUGUGUACUCUUUCCUCUUCAGUUUUUGGGCUAAGUGUCAUAUUUUUUUGCAUUGCUGCACUUGCAAAACAUAGAAAUAUCUUAUGGAAAAGAAGUCCUUUUCAUUUCUAGUUUUAUUUUUUUGUUCAACAAUUUUUGUAAAGUACAUUGUUUAGCUUAAUUUUGUUCUAGAAUAGAGGUAUCUUGAUUUUGGUGGAUUCAUUUGAUUUUAAAUGAAU